AGAGAGAGGGUUGUGGGCGUCUCUGCGUGGGCGGCCUGGUGAAUUGUGGCGACCCAGGCCGGCCAGGCCCGGCUCAGCUCUCCCGAGAGAAGGCGUAGAGGUCGGCCCUCCCGGGAGCCUGGUUCCUGGACGCGACGAAUGCUUCCUGGGGCCGUGGGAAGAAAUUACAGGCGUCGGAGCACUGGCGAUGCCUGCUGAACAGUGAAAGUGCUCAAGAGCAGGUAUGUAAAAUCAAGCUGAUAACAUGAAUAAGUAGACAAUUUCCCAUUUUAUCUGGGAGAACCUGACAGGAAAACCACCACUCUCCUAUAUUGAAAAGAACAUUUUCCUCUACUGAACAAAUGCAACAAAUUAGUCAUUAUUCCUAAUAUUUAUUGUCAUUCUCCUCUUAACAGAUGAAGUUUCUUGGGCACAGAGAGGGUAGUUAGGUCAGCUCCCCAAAGUCACUCAGGUUUUAAGGUGCUCGAGUCCCAGAAUAACUAAUAAUCUACAUGUCCCAAGCUGUACCCAUCCACCCCCAUUCUCUGCACACCUGUCCCUCCUCCAGUGGUCACUAACUCAGUGUAAAGCACCACCUUCUACCUAAUAGCUUAGGCCGGAGACCUUUAAAGCCAUCCUGAUUGCCGUCUUUCUGUCAUCACCCCCACAAUCACCACACCUGGCCACUUCGACCUCUCAUGGCUAAAUAAGGCCUUUACAUUUAUUUCUCUCCAUUAGAACAGCAAGUUCCCUAGUCCACUCAAACCCUCAUCUCUUUCCUUGAUGACUGCCAGGGCCAUCGUAGCUAGUCUUGCUGCCUGCCUUGACCCCUUCUCACACAUUCUCUGUCCCAGUGCCUGAGGGACCUUUCAUAACUCCUAGUGGGGUCAUCUCUCCCCUGCCCAAAUCCUGCAGGACCUCCCUGCUGCCCUUAGGAUAAUGCCUGGCCUCUUGGACUAGGCGCAUCUGGCCUGACCUACCCUAAAAUGCCUCACCCGUGGCAGAUGCCUCCUGAUGCUGCUCCUCACACUCAGCGUUCCAGACGAUCUAAACCUCUUUCUGUUCGUCAGAUGGCCCACACCAUGUCCUCUCUUUCUCUGUCUCUCUGAUGUCUACAACCUCACACCUGUCUGGCUUGCACUUCUUUUUUCCUCCUCUGCCUGCUGCCUGCUCACCUUCAGACCUCAGGUUAAGGAGAACCAUUUCCAUUUUACCUACCUAGAUGAAAAGGCACACCGGGUCCCCUAUUUUUACUGAAGGACACGUGAUAGAGAUUCAUUGAGAUUCCCCAAAAGGGCCAAUGAAUGGGAAAUACAAUCUGAGGGCAGGGUUUUCUGGGACCCUGGGGUGCUUGCCUCCAUACUGAUGUGUUCCUAACACAUGGCACUGUGUGAAUGGCUCUUUCUGGAGCCUGGCUACUGAGGACUUACUGUGUACCGCGCAUGUACACUUCUUAUUUCCCAAAGACUCGGAGAGGUUAAGUGUCAGACUCCCCGUCUACAGACAAGGACCCAAACCGAAAGAGGUCAGGUAGCUGAUACUGAAAAGGCUGUACUGGGGAAUCUCUUUGACUCUACAGCCAGACCUUUGUCCACUCCACUGACACAUUGUUCACGACAAACUUUGCUUAAGUUCCCCUUGCCGAGAUGCAGGUAUUGUCCCAUGAUGGGAUAGCAUCGUUCCAACACUGUGUCCACCUGUGAAUUGCCCGCCAGAGCCACCUGGAAAGAUCCUAAAAUGCUCUGUGUCUACCAUCCGAGGAACUUCCCUGGAUUCCCCUGGUGUGAAAGGCUUGCCUCAGAGUUUGCAGCCCAGCGGGACUUUCACUUCUAGGGCUACUCUGGAAGAGGUACUUUGCCACAUGAAAGAGACUUUUGCAAUCCAAACCCCAAAUUAUGUCUCCAUAAGCCUCACUCCGUUUAACAGAUAAUGUGAAUCUGGAGACAAACAGAGCCAGGCAGAGUGUUUUUAGUGGCUGCAACACGGCUCUGGAGUUGAUCAGACUCCAAAAACCAAAGAUGGAAACCAGGCUCCUCUUGUGUUGAGUUCUUUGUUCUCAGCGCUCUCAAGUGCAAAGUGUGAAUAAUCAAAGGGUCUACUGCACAAACCUCCCCUCCCCACGGCAGAGAAAUCUGUCCUGACCAGACCCUCUCUCACAUGGACCCCUCAGGCGAGGAGUAAGUUGCUCCCCUCUGUGUUUUGAAGAUACUGUGAGUUGAGAUCUGCCAUUGCUCUCCUCCCCAACACUGUGGGCAGUGCGGGGGUCAUCUGCCCACAAGGAGAUAGCCUGGUGCGUCCCUGCAUCCCCCACCCACAUCCGGUAUGUAGAGACCCAGUGUCCAUUUGGCUCUUGGGAUGUGUCUGUUGGGUGAAUGAAGGACCUUGAGCCAUGGUGCUGGUCAGUAAUGGGCAGCUGUUAUUGCAGCAGUUUUUUCUGCGUAGAAAUUAGAUAGAGGAGAACGGAGUGAACAGAGGGCAUCUCUGUAGUCACAUUCUCUUCCAUUUGGGUGAGGGAGGAGGAUUGUAUCUUUUAUCCCAUCCCUAAUUCCAGAACUCACAAUAAAGGAGGCUACAACAUUCUUUAGGUAACAUCUUGGCCAAUCUGUUCCACUGUCAGGCUCAGCUCUAGCUUCCCAGUGGAACCGUAGUGGUCAGUCAUCAAAAGUUUCCCGAGUCCCAAGCCAGGCACGGUGGCUCAUGCCUGUAAUCCUAGCACCCUGGGAGGCCGAGGCAGGUGGAUUUCUUGAACUCAGGAGUUCCAGACCAGCCUGAGCAAGAGCGAGACCCCAAUCUCAACUAAAAAUAGGAAAAUUAGCCAGGCGUGGUGUUGGGUGCCGUAGUCCCAGCUGUUCGGGAGGCCGCGGCAAGAGGAUCUCUUGAGCCCAAGAGUUUGAGGUUGCUGUGAGCUGUGAUGCCACAGCACUCUCCUCAGGGUGACUGAGUGAGACGCUAUCUCAAAAAAAAAAAAAAAAAAAAUUUUCCCAAGUCCCAGUGGCCAGUGCACCUAGCAGCCCCUCCUCUCCACCCCCAAGGAUCUGUUCCCUGGGAAGAUGUUUUAAUGAAUUCAGGCCUGCUAAUUGAAUAUGUGGUUCUGUGGCUUCAGCACAGAUGCACAGGAGACCAGGACGUGAAGACCAGAUGAAGAGGUUGAGUCAAGUCCAGGUGGCAUCUGUCAGCCUCACCUGGAUUUCCUGGCUAUUUGCCCAAACUAUCUUGUUCUCAGACUGCUCUUCCCCUGCGUCCCUGCUUUGCCUGAACUUGGCUGUGCCACACAGACCUGCCCUCAGUAUCUGUGCCCCUUGGGUGUCCUUUUUGGUCUGGCUGACCGACCAGAAACUUAGUCGGUACAGCAGGAUCCUAUCCCUGUCACUUCCCAUCCCCGUUCAGCCCUCACUCCUGCUUCCAGCUGCACUGACAUCCUUGUAAUAGUGUCUUUGCUGUGCCAGCAGGCUCUUCCCAGCUGUCCCCUCUGUCUGGAAAGCCCUGUCCCCACAUUAUCUGAAAUAAUUGGCUGACUCUUCACCCCAUUCACGACUUUGUCAAAAUGUCACCUUCUCAAUGUAGCCUCCCCAGGUUGCUUUGUUUAACAGUUUCAUCUGAGGCUCACCCAGUUCCUCCCUGCAUUCCCGAGUCUGUUACCACGAUCUACAUGUUUCUUUCUUUGCACUGCCGGCAUCACCUUCUACUGUACUGUCCAGUUUAUUAAAUUACCACAUGGAGCAUU